UACGGAGGGUGCAAGCGUUAUCCGGAUUCACUGGGUUUAAAGGGAGCGUAGGUGGCUUUGUAAGUCAGUGGUGAAAUAUUGCGGCUCAACCGCAAAACUGCCAUUGAUACUGCUUAGCUUGAAUCACGUCGAGGUGGAUGGAAUAAUACAUGUAGCGGUUGAAAUGCUUUAGAUAUGAUAUUAGAACACCGAUUGCGAAGGCAGUUCACUAGGCGUGUAUUGACA
rnacentral:rRNA from 1 species